UACGUAGGGUGCAGGCGUUAAUCGGAAUUACUGGGCGUAAAGCGUACGCAGGCGGUUUGCUAAGACAGGUGUGAAAUCCCCGGGCUUAACCUGGGAACUGCGCUUGUUACUGGCAAGCUAGAGUGUGGCAGAGGGGGGUAGAAUUCCAGGUGUAGCAGUGAAAUGCGUAGAUAUCUGGAGGAACACCGGUGGCGAAGGCGGCAUCCUGGACCGGCAUUGACGCUGAGGCGCGAAAGCCAGGGGAGCAAACGGG
rnacentral:rRNA from 1 species